CCUGGUUGAUCCUGCCAGUAGUCAUAUGCUUGUCUCAAAGAUUAAGCCAUGCAUGUCUAAGUAUGAACUGGUUCAUAUGGUGAAACUGCGAAUGGCUCAUUAAAUCAGCAAUAGUUUAUUUGAUUGUGCGCUGAUUGCUACUUGGAUAACCGUAGUAAUUCUAGAGCUAAUACAUGUUUCAAACGACCGACUUCCGUCCUGUUGAAAGGGUCAAACUGAUCGGCAGAAACGUUCUGUGGAAGGUCUGCAUUUAUUAGAUACGAAAAAACCAAUACGUCAAUGAGGGUCAAACUUUGUUGGCGGACAAAUAAAAACAUUCUUGACACGAAUGAAUAAAAUUGGUGAUUCAUGAUAACUGCGCGAAUCGCAUGACCUUGCGUCAGCGAUGGAUCAUUCAAAUUUCUGCCCUAUCAACUUUCGAAGGUAGGAUAGAGGCCUACCUUUGUUGUCACGGGUACGGGGAAUUAGGGUUCGGUUCCGGAGAGGGGGCAUGAGAAUUGGCCACCACUUCCAAGGAAGGCAGCAGGCGCGAAAAUUACUCAAUCCUGACACAGGGAAGUAGUGACAAAAAAUAACAAUGCAAUGCCUUGAACAAAGGCUUGCAAUUGGAAUGAGAGCAAUUUAAAUCCCUUCUCAAGGAACAAUUGGAGGGCAAGUCUGGUGCCAGCAGCCGCGGUAAUUCCAGCUCCAAUAGUGUAUAUUAAAGUUGUUGCAGUUAAAAAGCUCGUAGUUGGAUUUCAGAGCAGUUUCAAAAGAAUUUCUGGUCUGCUGUGUCAAUUUGUGAUGCAGUGUGUACUGGUCUUUCUGCUCUUUUUCUUGGUGAUCCUUACAACGCGGUCAUCAUUGCUGAAGGUUUUGAGUUGCUUUUGUGACUCGAUCUGAGGAGGUGGUGAUUUAGCUUGUAUGUUCGAUUGUCAAGAAGUCCUGACAAGACGUUCGCUCGUUCUCUUCAUUGAGAGCGAGUCAUUCUCUCGCACAGUGUUGUUCUUCGGGAUGAUGCAGUGGGGGAGUUUUGUUGGUUCAUCACAGUGUUUGCAGUCGAGAGCGCAGCAAUGCGUGAUCGGUUGUGAUGGUGGUGCGGUCAGCAGAACUCUUGUCCUUUUACCUUGAAUAAAUUAGAGUGUUCAAAGCAGGCUGUGGCGAAAGUCAACACGCCUUGAAUAUGUUAGCAUGGGAUAAUGGAAUAGGACUUUGGUCUUUGCAAGUGUCAGGAAGGGGAGUGGUGGCAACAUCGCUC
rnacentral:rRNA from 1 species